GGGUUGUGAGGUUAAGCGACUAAGCGUACACGGUGGAUGCCCUGGCAGUCAGAGGCGAUGAAGGACGUGCUAAUCUGCGAUAAGCGCCGGUAAGGUGAUAUGAACCGUUAUAACCGGCGAUUUCCGAAUGGGGAAACCCAGUGUGACUCGUCACACUAUCAUUAACUGAAUCCAUAGGUUAAUGAGGCGAACCGGGGGAACUGAAACAUCUAAGUACCCCGAGGAAAAGAAAUCAACCGAGAUUCCCCCAGUAGCGGCGAGCGAACGGGGAGGAGCCCAGAGCCUGAAUCAGCAUGUGUGUUAGUGGAAGCGUCUGGAAAGGCGCGCGAUACAGGGUGACAGCCCCGUACACAAAAGCGCAUGUGUUGUGAGCUCGAUGAGUAGGGCGGGACACGUG
rnacentral:rRNA from 6 species